rnacentral:rRNA from 1 species
UACGUAGGGGGCAAGCGUUGUCCGGAUUUAUUGGGCGUAAAGAGCGUGUAGGCGGCCAUACAGGUCAGCUGUGAAAACUCGAGGCUCAACCUCGAGACGUCGGUUGAAACCGUAUGGCUAGAGUCCGGAAGAGGAGAGUGGAAUUCCCGGUGUAGCGGUGAAAUGCGCAGAUAUCGGGAAGAACACCCAUGGCGAAGGCAGCUCUCUGGGACGGUACUGACGCUGAGACGCGAAAGCGUGGGGAGCGAACAGG